rnacentral:piRNA from 1 species
UCAAAUGGAUUUGGCCUUAGGACCUGAC